GGCUGUAACCAGAGCCACAAUAGUGACAGUGCCAGGUCCUUAACCUGCUGAGUUACAAGGGAAUUCCAGCAAUUAUUUCUUUUGGCUUUUUAGGGCUGUAACUGGGGCAUAUAGGAGUUCCCAGGCUAGGGGUUGAAUUGGAGCUACAGCUGCCAUCUACACCAUAGCCACAAUAAUGCCAGAUCUGAGCCGCAUCUGCAGAUCAGCAGAUCAGCAGAUCUGCUCAUGGCAAUGCCACUGCUCAUGGCAAUGCUGGAUCCUGAACCCACUGAGCAAGGCCAGGGAUCCAACCCAUGUCCUCGUGGAUACUAGUCAGGCUUGUUACUGCUGAGCCACGACAGGAACUCCAAGUAUUAAUUUCAUUAGAUGUCUAUUCCACACAUAUUUCCUGAAGGGGACAACCUGCCUCAGCAUCCGAGGCAGAAUGAGGCGCGGUUCUCCUCAGUGAGCUCCCAUGUCGGGGAGACCGAGGGGGAAAUGAGAGAUGAAGAGAUGCAGGGGCUGAGAAGGAGGGUCUACAAGGUGGAGCGAGCAGACACAAAGGAGGCAGCAGAGUCCAGAGGCUGAUGGAAGAAGGCAGUCCUUGGAGUUUUGCACUUUGAUCCUCUUAACAGAGGGCUUGGGUCUAGGAGUACUUUUGAGAAGUUUCCAUCAGGGCCAGUGUCACUCCAACACUACGAGUGAGGAGAUGGCAGGAAUCCCAGGCGCAGCCACGGUACAUAGGUAGGUAUCACGAGAGACUAGAAAUGCCGUUUGGGAUGGAGGACCAUCCAUGACACAAGAAAUACAUGCUGCAAGAACCCUAGUCUGGGUCCCAUAUUGCUGUUUCUACCAAAAGCUAUUCUCACUGGGAUGGAAGAUCUGGACCUGGUCAGCGGGAACUGUGGAAGCCUGGGGAAUGUCAGUGCUUUGGCUUUCUCAUCUCUGUGUGAGGGUGAUAAGAGGAAAACAGUGCCUUCUCCACUGACCUCUCAGGGCUGUUGUGAGGCUCAAAGUGGAUAAUGCCUGUGAGGGUGUUUCAUAAGUGGGUCCUAAGUACUGGCAGUCAUUAUUAUUAGUACUGCAAAAUGCCAUUUUCUGCAUCCUUCUCUGACUAAGUGGAAAGUCUUUGUGUUGCCCUGCUCUGAGGAGGUCAUUCCUAUCACUUCUGAGAUGCCCUUUGCAACACGGAAGCUUGUCAGCAGUGCUGCAUCUGGAGUAACCUCCUCUUAAAGUUAGACUAAUGGGUUAAUUUUUUAUAAGCAAACACAACAUGAAGCAGACCUGUUUAGAUCGAGGUUUUAUGCCUAAUGCUCAGAGGGCUACAUAACUAAAUCAUAGGUUGCAUCCCGUGAAAUAUUCAGAGGCUCGACAUCCCUCUUGCAUAUUCCUGUUGCUUGUGUCCAGGCGGUGUCUGUGUUCCAUAACAUGUGCGUGUGGGCGCCCACACUCAUACGUGAGUUGGGCAUGGAGUCAGGAAAGAAGGCAAUUGUAUAAAAUAUUAUAUGAUGGUAAUUUCAGCCUCAGUUCACAUGACAAUUAUCCUGGCUUCAAGAAUGAAUGUCCCUUGUCUAUGGCAGAUAGCAUCCAUUGCAAAGAACCAUUUCCAUCAGUGAAUAAAGAUGAUAAACACAAAUGUAAUAAAUAUAAGCCAGAGAUUCAUCUUCUACCAUCUACUUCACUGGACAUUGUCUGAACAACAGUCCUGGUUUUAACCUUCUCAGGUCUGUUCUUUUGGAAUCCCAAGGGUAGGAAGGACCCAGCAUGUCACCCUGCUUUAUCCAUGUCUCCAGGCAAGAUGCCCCCCAAACAAAACCUAAUGGGGGUAAAAAUGUCCUUGAUACUCCUAUGACAACACCCUUAAGACUUUAAAACUCUGAAUCUUGAACAGAGUAAGAAGAUAUGGUACAUAUAUGCACAAUGGAAUACUACUUAGCCAUAAACAUGAAUGAAAUAAUGCCAUCUGCAGCAACAUGAAUACAACUAGAGAUUCUGAUACUAAGUGAAAUAAGUCAGAAAGAGAAAGACAAAUACUGUAUUAUAUCAAUUCAAUGUGGAAUCUAAAAUAUGGCACCAAUGAAUCUACCUUCAGAACAGAAAAAGACUCACAGACAUGGGAACAGAGCAGACUUAACGGUUGCCAAGCGGGAGGGGAGAGGGAGAGAAAUAGUCUGAGAGUUUGGGGUUAGCAGAUGCAAACUAUUACAUUUAGAAUGGAGGGGAGUUCCCGUCGGGGCGCUGUGGUUAACGAAUCCGACUAGGAACCAUGAGGUUGCGGGUUCCGUCCCUGCCCUUGCUGAGUGGGUUAAUGAUCCGGCGUUGCCGUGAGCUGUGGUGUAGGUUGCAGACACAAGGCUCGGAUCUGAUGUUGCUGUGGCGGUGGCAUAGGCCAGCAGCUACAGCUCCGAUUCCAUCCCUAGCCGGGGAACCUCCAUAUGCCUCAAAUGCAGCCCUAAAAAAAAUUAAAAAGUAAAAAAUAAAAUAAUAAAAUAAAAUAAAA
rnacentral:lncRNA from 1 species